rnacentral:rRNA from 1 species
GACGAACGCUGGCGGCGUGCCUAAUACAUGCAAGUAGAACGCUGAAGAGAGGAGCUUGCUCUUCUUGGAUGAGUUGCGAACGGGUGAGUAACGCGUAGGUAACCUGCCUGGUAGCGGGGGAUAACUAUUGGAAACGAUAGCUAAUACCGCAUAAAAUGGAUUAUCGCAUGAUAAUGCAUUGAAAGGUGCAAAUGCAUCACUACCAGAUGGACCUGCGUUGUAUUAGCUAGUUGGUGGGGUAACGGCUCACCAAGGCGACGAUACAUAGCCGACCUGAGAGGGUGAUCGGCCACACUGGGACUGAGACACGGCCCAGACUCCUACGGGAGGCAGCAGUAGGGAAUCUUCGGCAAUGGACGGAAGUCUGACCGAGCAACGCCGCGUGAGUGAAGAAGGUUUUCGGAUCGUAAAGCUCUGUUGUAAGAGAAGAACGAGUGUGAGAGUGGAAAGUUCACACUGUGACGUAUCUACCAGAAA